UUGGCCCAGCUUUUCCUUCUAGAGCGACACACGUGUCGUUUGCCCCACUCCCACAUUUUUUUCAUUACGUGUUCUGUUCCUGUAAAACCUUCUGCCACACAUCAAAAUCCACCGCCCCUUCUCACUUCUCCCUUUUCUUCUGAUUUUCCACAGACAAUGACACUUGAUCUUUGACCGGUGGUUUUGUUAUGAUGCGUCGCAGCAACAUAAAUGAUGGUUUCGCAGCGGCGAUGACAACGACGGAAAGAAUCGAUGGCGGUUUUGGGGCACCGUCUACGGCGGCGGCGCAAAGGUCUAGAAAGGCAUCGUGAUUAUGUUAUAUUGUGAAAAACCUAGGGUUACAUUAUCAUUUUGAGCUGCAUAAAGGUUUUGGGUGAUAUUUAUUCUAUUUCCUCGAUGUGAAUUGAAGUUAUAAUUUCAUUAAGGAUUUGGAGAGUCAGCCGGCGCCUCGGGUGAUAGCGGCUUUCGAUAGUGAUUCCGGUAACGAUAGAAUUUCUACAGAAAGGGUGUGGGUUCGAGUCCUCUUUUGGCUUUUUUUAUCCCGUAUUUAUUUGUGCGACACGUGUUACGAUGCGAGAGAGAGGGGGCAGCACCGGCCGUUUUCACUAUACAGGACUAAAGUUGAAAGUAAAAAAAAGUUGUGAGAGUAGAUCGUAAAAGAUAAAAAGGGGGAUAACUUUUUAGCACUCACUGGUAGGAGAGGUCUUGAAACAACGUCAUGUACAAUUGAAGAAAAUGAUUUGUAGAGUUUCUUUUAUUUAUUUUGAAUCAUAUGCACUAGAUUUGUCCGCUUUGUCAGACGCCUUUUAUCUCCAGUGAAGUAAUAAACCUACACUAUACUACAAAGUUUUGUGCUUCAUUACAACAAGUAGAUGGGAUAUUUGAAAUAAAGACAAAGUUCAUACAGGGAUUCCCUGUUUUUGGUUCUAAUGGAACUGUUUGAAAGCAAUGUAAUAAUAUAUAGUAAAGUAACCAUUAUAAGCUUUAAAAAGGUCCUUUUUUAUAUAUCCUAAAAAUUAACUUUUUUUUAUCUCAUCAUAUCAAUCUUUUAAUCAUCUCCCCAUUAAAUACUUCCUUUCUCAAAACGCAUUUUGACCAAUUUGGAUAACGGGUCAAAACAGGUUUGGAUUUUGGCAGCUCCAGUGGGCAUCGAAUACCUAAUGUGUUCAGGCCUUCAUCAAAGCUCAAAGCUGGUCAACGUGACUAUUUGGAAGUCGGUGAGUAUUUGGGAAGGCUAUGAAAACGAUUAAGAUAAAGAUGGCAAAAAGAGAAGAGACACAUCCAAGUUCUAUGAUGAAGAUUGUGUAGAGUCGCCACUUGGUUAACGUAUUGAUUGAUGUAGCAGAGUUUCUUUUAAUUGUUCUUAAUAGGUAAAUUAAGUAGGAUUUCGUUUAAUUGUUCUUAAAAGGUAAAUUAAGAUGCCUCACGUUGGGUUCGUUGGAUUUCCU